rnacentral:rRNA from 1 species
UGGGGAAUAUUGGACAAUGGGCGAAAGCUUGAUCCAGCCAUGCCGCGUGUGUGAAGAAGGUCUUCGGAUUGUAAAGCACUUUAAGUUGGGAGGAAGGGUAUUAACCUAAUACGUUGGUGUCUUGACGUUACCGACAGAAUAAGCACCGGCUAAUUUUGUGCCAGCAGUUGCGGUAAUACAGAGGGUGCAAGCGUUAAUCGGAAUUACUGGGCGUAAAGCGCGCGUAGGUGGUUCGUUAAGUUGGAUGUGAAAUCCCCGGGCUCAACCUGGGAACUGCAUUCAAAACUGACGAGCUAGAGUAUGGUAGAGGGUGGUGGAAUUUCCUGUGUAGCGGUGAAAUGCGUAGAUAUAGGAAGGAACACCAGUGGCGAAGGCGACCAUUUGGACUGAUACUGACACUGAGGUGCGAAAGCGUGGGGAGCAAAUA